AUUGAACGCUGGCGGCAGGCUUAACACAUGCAAGUCGAGCGAGCGGCGGACGGGUGAGUAAUGUCUGGGAAACUGCCUGAUGGAGGGGGAUAACUACUGGAAACGGUAGCUAAUACCGCAUACCAUCAGAUGUGCCCAGAUGGGAUUAGCUAGUAGGUGGGGUAAUGGCUCACCUAGGCGACGAUCCCUAGCUGGUCUGAGAGGAUGACCAGCCACAUGGGAACGGAAAAACGGUCCAGACCCCUACGGGAGGCGGAGGGGGGGAAUAGUGCACAAUGGGCGAAGGCCGGAUGCAGCCAUGCCGCGUGUGGGAAGAAGGCCUUCGGGUUGUAAAGUACUUUCAGCGAGGAGGCGUUACCCGCAGAAGAAGCACCGGCUAACUCCGUGCCAGCAGCCGCGGUAAUUC
rnacentral:rRNA from 1 species